AGAAUCAACGCUGGCGGCGUGCCUAACACAUGCAAGUCGAACGCGAAAACCCCGCAAGGGGUGAGUAGAGUGGCAAACGGGUGAGUAACGCGUGGGUGACCUGCCUUCGAGCGGGGGAUAACGUUCCGAAAGGGACGCUAAUACCGCAUAACAUCCUGCCUUUGAACAGGUGGAGAUCAAAGCUGGGGCUUCGCAAGAACCCGGCACUUGAAGAGGGGCCCGCGUCUGAUUAGCUAGUUGGUGAGGUAACGGCUCACCAAGGCAACGAUCAGUA
rnacentral:rRNA from 1 species